GACGAACGCUGGCGGCGUGCCUAAUACAUGCAAGUUGAGCGCUGAAGGUUGGUACUUGUACCAACUGGAUGAGCAGCGAACGGGUGAGUAACGCGUGGGGAAUCUGCCUUUGAGCGGGGGACAACAUUUGGAAACGAAUGCUAAUACCGCAUAAAAACUUUAAACACAAGUUUUAAGUUUGAAAGAUGCAAUUGCAUCACUCAAAGAUGAUCCCGCGUUGUAUUAGCUAGUUGGUGAGGUAGAGGCUCACCAAGGCGAUGAUACAUAGCCGACCUGAGAGGGUGAUCGGCCACAUUGGGACUGAGACACGGCCCAAACUCCUACGGGAGGCAGCAGUAGGGAAUCUUCGGCAAUGGACGAAAGUCUGACCGAGCAACGCCGCGUGAGUGAAGAAGGUUUUCGGAUCGCAAAACUCUGUUGGUAGAGAAGAACGUUGGUGAGAGUGGAAAGCUCAUCAAGUGACGGUAACUACCCAGAAAGGGACGGCUAACUACGUG
rnacentral:rRNA from 1 species